CUAAGCCGAGGCCGAAAGGCGUAGGUGAUGGACAACAGGUUGAUAUUCCUGUACCGCCAAUAAGCGUUUGAGAGAUGGAGUGACACAGUAGGAUAAGCUAACCGUACUGUUGGUUAUGUACGGCUAAGCAUUGAGGCAGUCUAAAUAGGCAAAUCCGUUUAGACAAUGCUAGGAUGUGAUGGGGAAGCCCUUCGGGGCGAAGUAGCUGAUUUCACACUGUCAAGAAAAGCUUCUAUCGAGUUUAAAGGCGCCCGUACCGUAAACCGACACAGGUGGGUGAGGAGAGUAUCCUAAGGCCAGCGAGAGAACUAUUGUUAAGGAACUCGGCAAAAUGACCCCGUAACUUAGGGAGAAGGGGUGCCUGUCUAUGACAGGCCGCAGAGAAUAGGCCCAAGCGACUGUUUACCAAAAACACAGGUUUCUGCUAAGUCGCAAGACGAUGUAUAGGAGCUGACGCCUGCCCGGUGCUGGAAGGUUAAGGGGAUCUGUUAGAGCAAUCGAAGCAGUGAACUUAAGCCCCAGUAAACGGCGGCCGUAACUAUAACGGUCCUAAGGUAGCGAAAUUCCUUGUCGGGUAAGUUCCGACCCGCACGAAAGGCGUAACGAUUUGGGCACUGUCUCAACAAUAGACUCGGUGAAAUUGUAAUCCCGGUGAAGAUGCCGGGUACCUGCGACAGGACGGAAAGACCCCAUGGAGCUUUACUGUAGCUUGACGUUGGGUCUUGGUACUACAUGUACAGGAUAGGUGGGAGACUAUGAAGCAUGGACGCCAGUCUGUGUGGAGUCAUCCUUGGGAUACCACCCUUGUAGUACUGGGAUCCUAACCAUAGGCCUUGAAUCAGGUCUUGGAACACCGUCAGGUGGGCAGUUUGACUGGGGCGGUCGCCUCCUAAAAAGUAACGGAGGCGCUCAAAGGUUUCCUCAGCACGGUCGGAAAUCGUGCGAAGAGUGUAAAGGCAAAAGGAAGCUUGAUUGCAAGACAUACAGGUCGAGCAAGGACGAAAGUCGGACUUAGUGAUCCGGUGGUACCGCAUGGAAGGGCCAUCGCUCAACGGAUAAAAGCUACCCUGGGGAUAACAGGCUUAUCUCCCCCAAGAGUCCACAUCGACGGGGAGGUUUGGCACCUCGAUGUCGGCUCAUCACAUCCUGGGGCUGUAGUAGGUCCCAAGGGUUGGGCUGUUCGCCCAUUAAAGUGGUACGCGAGCUGGGUUCAGAACGUCGUGAGACAGUUCGGUCCCUAUCCGUCGCAGGCGUAGGAAAUUUGAGAAGACCUGUCCUUAGUACGAGAGGACCGGGAUGGACGUACCUCUGGUGUACCAGUUGUUCUGCCAAGGGCAUGGCUGGGUAGCUAUGUACGGAAUGGAUAAGCGCUGAAAGCAUCUAAGCGCGAAGCCAACUUCAAGAUAAGAUUUCCCACCGUAAGGGUAAGACCCCAGGAAGACUACCUGGUUGAUAGGUCGAAGGUGUAAGUGCAGUAAUGUAUUUAGCUUAUCGAUACUAAUAGGUCGAGGACUUGACC
rnacentral:rRNA from 1 species